GACGAACGCUGGCGGCGUGCCUAAUACAUGCAAGUAGAACGCUGAAGGAGGAGCUUGCUCUUCUGGAUGAGUUGCGAACGGGUGAGUAACGCGUAGGUAACCUGCCUGGUAGCGGGGGAUAACUAUUGGAAACGAUAGCUAAUACCGCAUAACAGUAGAUGUUGCAUGACAUUUGCUUAAAAGGUGCAAUUGCACCACUACCAGAUGGACCUGCGUUGUAUUAGCUAGUUGGUGGGGUAACGGCUCACCAAGGCGACGAUACAUAGCCGACCUGAGAGGGUGAUCGGCCACACUGGGACUGAGACACGGCCCAGACUCCUACGGGAGGCAGCAGUAGGGAAUCUUCGGCAAUGGACGGAAGUCUGACCGAGCAACGCCGCGUGAGUGAAGAAGGUUUUCGGAUUGUAAAGCUCUGUUGUAAGAGAAGAACGAGUGUGAGAGUGGAAAGUUCACACUGUGACGGUAUCUUACCAGAAAGGGACGGCUAACUACGUG
rnacentral:rRNA from 1 species